rnacentral:rRNA from 1 species
AUGAACGCUGGCGGCGUGCCUAAUACAUGCAAGUCGAGCGAUCGGACGAGAAGCUUGCUUCUCUGAUGUUAGCGGCGGACGGGUGAGUAACACGUGGAUAACCUACCUAUAAGACUGGGAUAACUUCGGGAAACCGGAGCUAAUACCGGAUAAUAUUUUGAACCGCAUGGUUCAAAAGUGAAAGACGGUCUUGCUGUCACUUAUAGAUGGAUCCGCGCUGCGUUAGCUAGUUGGUAAGGUAACGGCUUACCAAGGCAACGAUGCAUAGCCGACCUGAGAGGGUGAUCGGCCACACUGGAACUGAGACACGGUCCAGACUCCUACGGGAGGCAGCAGUAGGGAAUCUUCCGCAAUGGGCGAAAGCCUGACGGAGCAACGCCGCGUGAGUGAUGAAGGUCUUCGGAUCGUAAAACUCUGUUAUUAGGGAAGAACAUAUGUGUAAGUAACUGUGCACAUCUUGACGGUACCUAAUCAGAAAGCCACGGCUAACUACGUG